GGAGGCUUUGAAGUGUGGACGCCAGUCUGCAUGGAGCCGACCUUGAAAUACCACCCUUUAAUGUUUGAUGUUCUAACGUGGACCCGUGAUCCGGGUUGCGGACAGUGUCUGGUGGGUAGUUUGACUGGGGCGGUCUCCUCCUAAAGAGUAACGGAGGAGCACGAAGGUUGGCUAAUCCUGGUCGGACAUCAGGAGGUUAGUGCAAUGGCAUAAGCCAGCUUGACUGCGAGCGUGACGGCGCGAGCAGGUGCGAAAGCAGGUCAUAGUGAUCCGGUGGUUCUGAAUGGAAGGGCCAUCGCUCAACGGAUAAAAGGUACUCCGGGGAUAACAGGCUGAUACCGCCCAAGAGUUCAUAUCGACGGCGGUGUUUGGCACCUCGAUGUCGGCUCAUCACAUCCUGGGGCUGAAGUAGGUCCCAAGGGUAUGGCUGUUCGCCAUUUAAAGUGGUACGCGAGCUGGGUUUAGAACGUCGUGAGACAGUUCGGUCCCUAUCUGCCGUGGGCGCUGGAGAACUGAGGGGGGCUGCUCCUAGUACGAGAGGACCGGAGUGGACGCAUCACUGGUGUUCGGGUUGUCAUGCCAAUGGCACUGCCCGGUAGCUAAAUGCGGAAGAGAUAAGUGCUGAAAGCAUCUAAGCACGAAACUUGCCCCGAGAUGAGUUCUCCCUGAGACUUUA
rnacentral:rRNA from 1 species